rnacentral:rRNA from 1 species
GGGUCAGUAGGUUGGUCGUGCCACCGGUACGUACUGGUCUCACUGAUUCCUCCUUCCUGAAGAACCGUAGUGCCAUUAAUUUGGUGUUGCGGGGAAACAGGACUGUUACUUUGAAAAAAUUAUAGUGUUUAAAGCAAGCUAACGCUUGAAUACAUUAGCAUGGAAUAAUGAAAUAGGACGAUCGAUCCUAUUUUGUUGGUUUCUAGGAUUGACGUA